UGAGGAAUAUUGGUCAAUGGGCGAGAGCCUGAACCAGCCAAGUAGCGUGCAGGAUGACGGCCCUAUGGGUUGUAAACUGCUUUUAUAUGGGAAUAAAGUGAGGGACGUGUCCCUUAUUGCAUGUACCAUACGAAUAAGGACCGGCUAAUUCCGUGCCAGCAGCCGCGGUAAUACGGAAGGUCCAGGCGUUAUCCGGAUUUAUUGGGUUUAAAGGGAGCGUAGGCUGUUUGUUAAGCGUGUUGUGAAAUGUAGGAGCUCAACUUUUAGAUUGCAGCGCGAACUGGCAGACUUGAGUGCGCACAACGUAGGCGGAAUUCAUGGUGUAGCGGUGAAAUGCUUAGAUAUCAUGAAGAACUCCGAUGGCGAAGGCAGCUUACGGGAGCGCAACUGACGCUGAAGCUCGAAGGUGCGGGUAUCGAACAGG
rnacentral:rRNA from 1 species